rnacentral:piRNA from 1 species
UGCCAAACCUGGUGCCCUGUGUU